UUGGCUGGGAGGACCAUGGAAAAGCUGGAAUAACAACCAUGUAGAAGGCAAUGAAACCCGGGUUGUAGCAGUAACCCUCAGUGAGAUCUUGCACCGAGGACUCACCAUCCCCCAGGAGCUGAAAAGGACGGGACAGGACUGUGCCAAGCUCCAUCCUCUGUGGAUAGACCAUCAACAGGCACACCUUCGUUUGCUGGACACGGCCCGGUUGUGA
rnacentral:lncRNA from 1 species